rnacentral:rRNA from 1 species
AGCUCCAAUAGCGUAUAUUAAAGUUGUUGCAGUUAAAACGCUCGUAGUCUGAAUUUAGUGCCUGAGUAACGUGGUCUGCCGCAAGGUGUGUACUGCUUACUCAGCACUUUCUUCUGCUGUUGUGCAUCGCUAGCCUUAAGUGGUUGGUAGGUGCCUACUGCAGAUCGUUUACUUUGAAUAAAUUAGAGUGUUUAAAGCAGGCAUUAUUGCCUUGAAUACAUUAGCAUGGGAUAAUAGAAUAGGAUCAAGCAUCCUUUUGUUGGUUGAAGCGUGUUUGAUAAUGAUCAAUAGGAACAGCCGGGGCUGUUUGUAUUUAAUUGUCAGAGGUGAAAUUCUUGGAUUUAUGAAAGACAAACUUCAGCGAAAGCAUUCAGCAAGAAUGUUUUCA